rnacentral:misc_RNA from 1 species
GAUAUGAUCUUCAUCGUACAGUUCAUGCACCAUUUGUGCAUGGCCAGCCAAAGCUGCUAUAUGGAUUGGAAAUAAAUUUUUACCACCCCGAGUCACUGACAAAUCUUGCUUCUUCAUCUUCAUAAUUUGAGCAAUUUUCACGUUUCCAGAUAAAGCCGCAUAGCAAAAAGCUGUANNNNNNNCUCCUCUGGUUCUGUUGCUGGGUCUUGUGAUUGUGGAACUCGGUCCCGUGGAUGUAGGGCUGCAGCUGCAUCUUGGAUUGGGUCCGCGAUUGUUACUUUGGCUUUGGGUUUGGUAUUUUCUUGUCGACUUACAUUUGCACUUCUGAUUGCAGAUGCCAAUGUGGCUGCAGUUGCUUUGGGACCUAUGGCUGGGUCCUCUGCUAUUUUGAAUGCAGUUGGGGCUGAAGCCAUGGCAUCACUUAGAGAUGAAGCUUGUGAUUGUGGGACUCGGUCCCGUGGUUGCGGGGCUGCAGCUGCAGCUGCAGCUGCAUCUUGGAUUGGGUCCGCGAUUGUUACUUUGGCUUUGGGUUUGGUAAGUUUGGUAUUUUCUUGUCGACUUGCAUUUGCAUUUUCGGUUGCAGAUGGGAAUGCGGCUGCAGUUGCUUUGGGACCUAUGGCUG